CAAACAGGAACACAAAUAUUAUUUAUGCCAAGUGGAGCUGACAUCACCCUGUGAUACCUCCUAAACUUGUGACCUUGAGUUAAUUGUGAAGCAACAGCAAGUGAAAAUCAGUGGGAAAAGGAACAAGUAUGAAAGAAAACAACCCCUAAAUUAAAGACCUUUUCCUCUCCAGCAGUUUGGGCAGCAGCUCAGACUGUCAUCAGCAGAUAAAUCAGUUUGCAGGGCUGUGGACAGCUCGUUAAUAUGAGUUCUGAAUGGUUUAAUUGGGGAAGUGUGGGAGAAGCUGGAGGUGCAGAGUCAGGCUGAGCUCAGGGCACGUGGGGCUGGGUGUGCUCCUCCAGAAUUUCUCUGCCUAGAAUUGCUGGACUCUGGAUUCACAUCACCCCUGGCUCUGCUCAUCAGUGAAGCUUCCAGGAUUAAUUCCCACUCCUGCAGCAAGGAUAUGAGGACAGGUGACACAGGGGCUCUGCUGGAACCUUCCGAACUUCACUCCUGCUCCAGCUGCUGAUGAAAUGCCCUUUUCUUUUGGAUCAGUGCAAGGAACACACUUUGUCCUGGCACAAAUCACAUGAAACUAAAUAAACCAUGGGACAAGAAAGCAAGAAGAAAAUAAAUGUCUUCAUUCUGAAGCCAUUUCCUUUGUGCUUUUGGACUCUGGGGCUCUUUCCAUUUCAGAGUUUCAUGUUAUGCUGGCUAUUAAUCGCCAAACUUAAAAAUAAAAAGAUAAAAUGCUCUUUCUGCCUGUGGUUUAGGAACACACAAAAUACUAUAUUUUGAACAUUACAAAUCUGUAAGGAUUUAAAUUUCUUACAUCUCUUAGUUAAAAAAAAUUGAAUAACUGAGAUUUCCCAAAGCGAGUUACAUUCUCACAAAAUAAAAACACAGGUAAGGAGUUUUUUAUGUUCAGAUUUGAAUGGGCAAGCCAAGACAUUUUCCUUUUCAUGAAUGCAAUGGAUAUUAAUUAACAAAAUAGUGUUAAUAAAGAAUUUAAGGGCAUGGGACUGAUCCUGUUCUAAACUUGAUGGCCUCACUUCCACCCGGUGCAGCAGGUCUGGGCUAAGAUUUGUGUGGAUUUUUUGUCAUAAAGUUUUUAAUCCAAGUUAUUGAGGUCAGGAAUGACUCCCACUGCCUUGACCAGGGUGCUUUGGAGCCCCUCAAAAACAUCUUCGCCCUAAAUAUCCAUUUUUAAACAAUUCAGCCCCAGAUCUCACCUUGACACUGUUGUUUGCUAAAAAACAGUAUCUGGAUCCUAAGGAUUUGCUCAUUUUUUAAAGAGCAUUCAAACACCACAGGGGCAUAUC